rnacentral:rRNA from 1 species
UGGGGAAUAUUGCACAAUGGGGGGAAACCCGUGAUGCAGCGACGCCGCGUGAGCGAAGAAGUAUUUCGGUAUGUAAAGCUCUAUCAGCAGGGAAGAAAAAAAUGACGGUACCUGAGUAAGAAGCACCGGCUAAAUACGUGCC